rnacentral:rRNA from 1 species
GAUGAACGCUGACAGAAUGCUUAACACAUGCAAGUCGAUGGGGAAGUGGUGCUUGCACCAUGGCAACCAUGGCGGACGGGUGAGUAACGCGUAAGGGACUUACCUGCAGGACUGGGAUAACAGGGGGAAACUCCUGACAAGACCGGAUAAUGUCAUGGAGCUGCAUGGCUUUAUGAUGAAAGGAGACGCCUGCGGAGAGCCUUGCGUCCUAUUAGCUAGUUGGUGAGGUAAUGGCUCACCAAGGCGAAGAUAGGUAGCCGGCCUGAGAGGGUGGACGGCCAAAAGGGGACUGAGAUACGGCCCUUACUCCUACGGGAGGCAGCCGGGGGGAAUAUUGGACAAUGGGGGCAACCCUGAUCCAGCAAUUCUGUGUGCACGAAGAAGGUUUUCGGAUUGUAAAGUGCUUUCAGCAGGGAAGAAGUAAGUGACGGUACCUGCAGAAGAAGCGACGGCUAAAUACGUG